CCUACGGGUGGCAGCAGUGAGGAAUAUUGGUCAAUGGGCGAGAGCCUGAACCAGCCAAGUCGCGUGAGGGUAGACGGUCCUAUGGAUUGUAAACCUCUUUUGUCGGGGAGCAAAAAGGCCUCGUGAGGCCACAAGUGAGAGUACCCGAAGAAAAAGCAUCGGCUAACUCCGCGCGAGCAGGCGCGGUAAUACGGAGGAUGCGAGCGUUAUCCGGAUUUAGUGGGUUUAAAGGGUGCAUAGGCGGACUGGAAAGUCCGCGGUAAAAUCGAGGGGCUCAAGCGUUUUCCGCCGUUGAAACUGUCGGUCUUGAGUGGGCGAGAAGUAUGAGGAAUGCGUGGUGUAGCGGUGAAAUGCAUAGAUAUCACGCAGAACUCCGAUUGCGAAGGCAGCAUACCGGCGCCCGACUGACGCUGAGGCACGAAAGCGUGGGUAUCGAACAGGAUUAGAUACCCGAGUAGUC
rnacentral:rRNA from 1 species